rnacentral:rRNA from 1 species
CACGUAGGGCGCAAGCGUUGUCCGGAAUUAUUGGGCGUAAAGAGCUCGUAGGUGGUUUUGUUACGUCCGCUGUGAAAUCCUAGGGCUUAACCCUGGGCUUGCAGUGGAUACGGGCAGACUAGAGGUAGGUAGGGGAGAAUGGAAUCCUGGUGUAGCGGUGAAAUGCGCAGAUAUCAGGAGGAACACCAAUUGCGAAGGCAGCUCGCUGGGACGUGACUGACGCUGAGACGCGAAAGCGUGGGGAGCAAACAGG